UACGGAGGGUGCGAGCGUUGUCCGGCCUCCCUUUUCUUCCCUCUCUCUUAUUCUUCCUUAUUAUUACUUCUUGAAAUCCUGCGGCUUAACCGCAGGGCUGCCUUCUAAACUGCCAGGCUAGGGCACAGUAGAGGCAGGUGGAAUUCCCGGUGUAGCGGUGGAAUGCGUAGAGAUCGGGAAGAACAUCAGUGGCGAAGGCGGCCUGCUGGGCUGUUGCUGACGCUGAGGCGCGACAGCGUGGGGAGCAAACAGG
rnacentral:rRNA from 1 species